UACAGAGGUCUCAAGCGUUGUUCGGAUUCAUUGGGCGUAAAGGGUGCGUAGGCGGCGCGGUAAGUCGGGUGUGAAAUCUUGGAGCUUAACUCCGAAACUGCAUUCGAUACUGCCGUGCUUGAGGACUGGAGAGGAGACUGGAAUUUACGGUGUAGCGGUGAAAUGCGUAGAUAUCGUAAGGAAGACCAGUGGCGAAGGCGGGUCUCUGGGCCGAUACUGACGCUGAGGAGCGAAAGCGCGGGGAGCGAACAGG
rnacentral:rRNA from 1 species